ACGGGUGAGUAACACGUGGGCAACCUGCCCUAAGGAGCGGGAUAACACCAGGAAACUGGUGCUAAUACCGCAUAAUGAGUCUCUGGCGCAUGCCAGAGCCUUCAAAGAUUUAUCGCCUUAGGAUGGGCCCGCGUCCCAUUAGCCAGUUGGUGAGGUAACGGCCCACCAAAGCUACGAUGGGUAGCCGACCUGAGAGGGUGAUCGGCCACAUUGGAACUGAGACACGGUCCAGACUCCUACGGGAGGCAGCAGUGGGGAAUAUUGCACAAUGGGGGAAACCCUGAUGCAGCAACGCCGCGUGAGCGAUGAAGGCCUUCGGGUUGUAAAGCUCUGUCUUCGCUGACGAUAAUGACGGUAAGCGAGGAGGAAGCCACGGCUAACUACGUGCCAGCAGCCGCGGUAAUACGUAGGUGGCAAGCGUUGUCCGGAAUUACUGGGCGUAAAGGAUGCGUAGGCGGCCUCUUAAGUGGGAUGUGAAAUGCCGGGGCUUAACCCCGGAGGUGCAUUCCAUACUGGGAGGCUAGAGUGCAGGAGAGGAAAGCGGAAUUCCCAGUGUAGCGGUGAAAUGCGUAGAGAUUGGGAGGAACACCAGUGGCGAAGGCGGCUUUCUGGACUGUAACUGACGCUGAGGCAUGAAAGUGUGGGGAGCAAACAGGAUUAGAUACCCUGGUAGUCCACACCGUAAACGAUGGGCACUAGGUGUAGGGGGCGUAGCCCUCUGUGCCGCAGUUAACACAUUAAGUGCCCCGCCUGGGGAGUACGAUCGCAAGAUUAAAACUCAAAGGAAUUGACGG
rnacentral:rRNA from 1 species